CAGGGGGCUCGAGCGUUAGUCGGAAUCACUGGGCUUAAAGGGUGCGUAGGCGGCCCGCCAAGUGCUUUGUGAAAUCCCCGAGCUCAACUCGGGAACCGCAGGGCAAACUGGUGGGCUUGAAGCAGGUAGGGGCUGGAAGAACAGUAGGUGGAGCGGUGAAAUGCGUAGAUAUCUACUGGAAUGCCGAUGGGGAAGCCGUCCAGCUGGGCCUGUCUUGACGCUGAGGCACGAAAGCGUGGGGAGCAAACAGGAUUAGAUACCCUGGUAGUCCACGCCGUAAACGAUGUGCACUAGACUGGUGCGGUUUUGACGCCGUAUCAGUCGCAGUAAAAACGAUAAGUGCACCGGCCUGGGGAGUACGGUCGCAAGGCUA
rnacentral:rRNA from 1 species